GCGGGCUCUGGCGCGCAGGCGCACCGCGAGGGAUGACUAAAGGUGGCGGCUGGUGUAGCGGUAGAGGACCGAGGGCCGCGCGGCGCGGGGCGGGGCCGAAGUGGUGGCGACGUGGCCGCCGAGUUCCGGCGUGCGGCGGCGGGUUCCAGGACCCUGAGGAUACCAAAGUCUGAGCACACUCAAGUCCCUUAUGCAAGAUGGCAUGAUACUUGCACAUAACCUCGCGCAUAUGUUCCUGUAUACUACUGAAAAUACUGAUGAAAACUCUGGGAACAAAACAGUGGAUAUAGUUGACAAAACAAAAUCUGUUCCUGGACAGCUUCUGAUAAAUUUAAAAAGUGUGAAGAUAAUGAACAUAGAUUACAUUUGCAUAAUGGCAUAACAAAAAUGUAUUGGACAAUGCAAACUAUGGGGAAAUUGCAUUUGGAAACUGAAUUAAGAUUCUGAUUCUGGCAAGAUGACUAAUGAUGAAUGGUUUUAUAGAGGAGGAGGAACUACCUCCUGUGUUUUCCUCUAACUGAUUUUAAAUGUCUGUGAUGGUUGAUUGAUUGUGUCAACUUGAAAGAAAAGCUCAACUAAAUUGGCUCAGCAGUUCUUCACUCUAGGGCAUGGAAGAUCCACCCUACGUGGCAUGUCACCUGAAUUGAAUAAAGGGGAAGUGGAGAAGGACGGAGCUUCGGAGGAGCCCACCUAGUCUUUGCAUCACCUUGGAUGACAUCUGGCUUCCAACACAGACUCUUCAGCUUCUGGUACAGAUCAUUCAGCCUUCCGGGUAGACUCUUAAGCCUUCCGUGGCAGACCCACUAAUUUCAUGAUAUGUUGCAUAGAACACUGCAGCGAGUUCCAAACAUUCAGCUGGAUCCUUCAGUCUCCAGUAUGCAGACAGACCAUCUGCACUCUUUCAUAUCCGACACUGGGUGACCACUAGGAAAAAAAUCACUCAAGAUCAUGAUGAUACAAAAGCAAGCAAAAGCUCUUCCCUAAGCUGAGAUAAAGAGUGAUACACUGUAUUUUUAAAAUUGUGUUUGGUGAUGGACUAAUUUCAAAGAAAACAAUUUUGAAGGAGUCUAUUAAAGAAUUGAGAGCACCGACCACGCAGGUUCUGAUUUCAGUGUGGCUGCAUACGAAAUGAAAGUGGAAUAGGACUCUAUCUCCAAGUAUAUGUAGUGUUUGUUUUUCUUACUAAAAAGCAAUACAAGCUUACUGAAGAAAAACUGGCACCCAGAGACCAUCAGAAAGAGUAAAGAUGACACCCAGGAUCUCACUGUAUAGAGGCAUUUCGAGAUCCAAAGGGAUGGAGGUCUGCAGUUCGCUGGUUGAACCACUGCUUCGCAGGAAGAAAGAGCACCCUUGGUGCAGGAGGCAUUUCUCCUUUGCCCGUGUCUGAUGGCCUGGACAAGCCCCACCCCUACCUUGGCAGUCCCAUCAUCUUUCCUUUCUGCCUCAGUACCAUCCAAAGAAAUCCUAGCAAAGUCCUGCUUUCUGUGAGGUGAGCUAAUGCACACCUGGUUCGGUUCCAAGGACCACCUCUCUGGUGAAGUAAUGGACUCACUUAAUGUUCUGGAUCAAGUAGAUCACCAACUUGAAGCUCCUGAAGGGCAGAGGGUUAACUCAAAAUUAGAAACUAAAAUUAUGAGAAGAAAUGGAGUGGGCUCAGGGGUAGAGCACUUGCCUAGCAAGAAGCUGUGAGUUCAAUCUCUAGCACAGG